GGUGGGUUAGCUCAGCUGGUAGAGCUUAGGGCUCGCGACCGGGAAAUCCCGGUUCGAAUCUCGCAAGAGGCG
rnacentral:tRNA from 1 species